UUCGCCCACCACUAGGACAAACAUAAACCUUUUGUAAUUGCAAUCAGCGUCAGUAACAAAUUAAUAAUUACAACUUUCAACAACGGAUCUCUUGGUUCUGGCAUCGAUGAAGAACGCAGCGAAAUGCGAUAAGUAGUGUGAAUUGCAGAAUUCAGUGAAUCAUCGAAUCUUUGAACGCACAUUGCGCCCUUUGGUAUUCCAAAGGGCAUGCCUGUUCGAGCGUCAUUUGUACCCUCAAGCUUUGCUUGGUGUUGGGCGUCUUGUCUCUAGCUUUGCUGGAGACUCGCCUUAAAGUAAUUGGCAGCCGGCCUACUGGUUUCGGAGCGCAGCACAAGUCGCACUCUCUAUCAGCAAAGGUCUAGCAUCCAUUAAGCCUUUUUUUCAACUUUUGACCUCGGAUCAGGUAGGGAUACCCGCUGAACU
rnacentral:rRNA from 1 species